rnacentral:piRNA from 1 species
GGAUUUCAAAACGCAAGCAUACAUUUCA